GGGGAAUAUUGGACAAUGGGCGCAAGCCUGAUCCAGCCAUGCCGCGUGGGUGAAGAAGGCCUUCGGGUUGUAAAGCCCUUUUGUUGGGAAAGAAAAGCAGCCGGCCAAUACCCGGUUGUUCUGACGGUACCCAAAGAAUAAGCACCGGCUAACUUCGUGCCAGCAGCCGCGGUAAUACGAAGGGUGCAAGCGUUACUCGGAAUUACUGGGCGUAAAGCGUGCGUAGGUGGUGGUUUAAGUCCGGGGUGAAAGGCUACGGCUCAACCGUAGUGAGCCUCUGAAACUGGUGAACUUGAGUGUAGGAGAGGAAAGUGGAAUUCCCAGUGUAGCGGUGAAAUGCGUAGAUAUUGGGAGGAACACCAGUGGCGAAGGCGACUUUCUGGACUACAACUGACGCUGAGGCACGAAAGCGUGGGGAGCAAACA
rnacentral:rRNA from 1 species